AGUGGCGGACGGGUGAGUAACGCGUGGGUAACCUACCUCAUACAGGGGGAUAACAGUUGGAAACGACCGCUAAUACCGCAUAACCCGCUAGUAUCGCAUGAUACGGACGGAAAAGAUUUAUCGGUAUGAGAUGGACCCGCGUCUGAUUAGCCAGUUGGCAGGGUAAUGGCCUACCAAAGCAACGAUCAGUAGCCGGCCUGAGAGGGUGAACGGCCACAUUGGGACUGAGACACGGCCCAAACUCCUACGGGAGGCAGCAG
rnacentral:rRNA from 1 species